GACAGAGGUGCCAAGCGUUAGGCGGAAUCACUGGGCUUAAAGCGUGUGUAGGCGGAUUGGUAAGUACCUUGUGAAAUCCCACAGCUCAACUGUGGAACUGCUCGGUAUACUGCUUAUCUUGAGCCACUUAGGGGCUGUCGGAACAAACGGUGGAGCGGUGAAAUGCGUAGAUAUCAGGAGGAACACCGGUGGUGUAGACGGCUUUCUGGACCGUAACUGACGCUGAGACACGAAAGCGUGGGUAGCAAACAGG
rnacentral:rRNA from 1 species